rnacentral:rRNA from 1 species
GAUUAGAGUUUGAUCAUGGCUCAGAUUGAACGCUGGCGGCAUGCUUUACACAUGCAAGUCGAACGGUAACAGGGAGCUUGCUCCGCUGACGAGUGGCGAACGGGUGAGUAAUGCAUCGGAACGUACCCAGUCGUGGGGGAUAACGUAGCGAAAGUUACGCUAAUACCGCAUACGUCCUGAGGGAGAAGGCGGGGGACCGAAAGGCCUCGCGCGAUUGGAGCGGCCGAUGUCGGAUUAGCUAGUUGGUAGGGUAAAGGCCUACCAAGGCGACGAUCCGUAGCGGGUCUGAGAGGAUGAUCCGCCACACUGGGACUGAGACACGGCCCAGACUCCUACGGGAGGCAGCAGUGGGGAAUUUUGGACAAUGGGCGCAAGCCUGAUCCAGCCAUGCCGCGUGAGUGAAGAAGGCCUUCGGGUUGUAAAGCUCUUUCAGGUGGAAAGAAAACGCAUGGGUCAAUACCCUGUGUGGAUG